CCCUGCUUAGUUUCAACAGCAUCAUCCCCUGCAAAACCAAAUCACACACCAAAAAAAAACACAUCGUUUUGGUUCUUUCGAACUGGAACCUCCUAAUCUAUUUCUUCCUGAAUUGAUAUAAACUCCAUAAAUUUGAUUCAUUUGGAUGGGACAGUCAAUGACUGGUUCUCAAGCAUGCUUGUGUUGGCAUCAAUGACAACUCCAAC
rnacentral:misc_RNA from 1 species